rnacentral:rRNA from 1 species
UGGGGAAUAUUGGGCAAUGGGCGAAAGCCUUACCCAGCAACGCCGCGUGAGGGAAGAAGGUUUUCGGAUUGUAAACCUCUGUCCUGGGGGACGAAGGAAGUGACGGUACCCCGGGAGGAAGCCCCGGCCAACUACGUGCCAGCAGCCGCGGUAAUACGUAGGGGGCGAGCGUUGUCCGGAAUUAUUGGGCGUAAAGGGCGCGUAGACGGCCGAGUAAGUUAUAGGUGAAAGCCCAUCUUUCAAGGAUGGAAUUGCCUGUAAUACUGCCUGGCUUGAGUGCAGGAGAGGGAAGCGGAAUUCCUAGUGUAGCGGUGAAAUGCGUAGAUAUUAGGAGGAGCACCAGUGGCGAAGGCGGCUUUCUGGACUGUAACUGACGUUGAGGCGCGAAAGCGUGGGGAGCAAACAGGAUUAGAUACC